rfam:Lepisosteus oculatus linkage group LG18, whole genome shotgun sequence.
GUAGGCUAUGGGGAUAUUUAUCCCAAGACUUUGUUGGGAAAAAUUGUAGGGGGGCUGUGCUGCAUUGCUGGAGUACUGGUGAUUGCCCUGCCUAUACCCAUCAUUGUAAAUAAU